CCUGUUUAAUUUAGGUCUGACCUGCCCACUGAUUUAUUUAAUGGCCGCGGUAUUCUGACCGUGCAAAGGUAGCAUAAUAAUUUGUCUUUUAAUUGAAGGCUUGUAUGAAUGGUUGGACGAGAAAAUUACUUUCUUUAUAAUAAAAUGAUUAAUUUUAUUUUUUAGUUAAAAAGCUAAAAUUUUGUUGUAGGACGAGAAGACCCUAUAGAACUUUAUAUUUAUUUAAAUAUUAAUGUUUUUGGAUUAAUAAUAUGUUGUAUUUUUAUAAAUAUUUUGUUGGGGCGACAAGAAAAUUUAUUUAACUUUUUUUUAUUAAUUUCAUUAAUUAAUGUAUAAAUGAUCCUUUAUUAUGGAUAAUUAGAAUAAGUUACCUUAGGGAUAACAGCGUAAUUUUUUUGGAGAGUUCUUAUCGAUAAAAAAGUUUGCGA
rnacentral:rRNA from 1 species